CGAACAGGGCAUGGUCUGAUGGUCAUGGGUGUGUGUUAAUUAAACUAAGCCAACUGCUAUACUCCUUUAGCAGGCAUCACUGAAAUUUCUGCAGCUGGAUGGCCGGCCGGGCCACAUUUCAAGUCAAAUUCAAGUUCAAGUUCUGGACUUGUUCAGUCCUUCUUCACUGAAUAUUCGUGCGGAGUCUCUGUAACUUUUCCUAGUAACGUCCAGUGGUAUUCCAAAGCCAUGUUUCCCAGUGUCAUUUCACCUAUAAAUAGAGGUAUAGGGGUAUAACUUGUUUGCAUCAGAGGCACCCAUCGAGCUUGUUGUGUACAUCGUUCCAGAGCCGCGAAUUUCAGGAUCAUCUUGGUGGAGCAUUUCAUCCUGUGGUGCUCAGCGAUCUCCAGAGGAACAAUGGCGAAACCUGGCGGCCGUAACAACGUCAAGAAGAGCAUCUGGCAGCUCCUCUGCGGCUGCACGAAGCCUCAGACCCGCGACUAAUUCAAAUCCGAAGUUUCUAAAUGCACGAGAGAGCGAGAGGUCAAGGGUCUUAUGGUUCCCCGUGAUAGGUGAAAUUCUUUCCUACGUGUAGGUCUCAACGAGUUGUUCCAUGUUGAAGUUUAGUACAGUACUCCUUUUGUUCCAUAUUAAUUGGCACGGAUUUAGUACAACUUGUAUUAAAUCCGUGUCAAUUAUGUGGAACGGAGAGAGUACUCCGUAGUAGUGUGGGUAUGAUCAGUCAGAUGACGCCCGAUAUUAGUGAGUUGUCUUUGUUCAAUUGGUUAUGUAGUAGGAGUUGUGUAACUUGUGUGUCGAGCUUAGCUGCCCCUGCACUCUUAGGGGAACAAUGCAAGCAAGAGUCAUGUAAACCAUAUCCCUGAAUAAAAAUCUCGCCUGCUUCGUUA